CUUUGAAGUCCAACGAAAGUAUGUUGCUUCAGUAAAAUGUAAAAAAUGGUAUCAUCAUUGGCGUUUGGCGGCUGGUUCGACACCUUAUGUAUCUGUCUCUGGGAGGGAAGCUCUUUUACUAUUGUGGAGAUUGGCUUAUCCUGACAGGGAGCUUCCUUCACUUAAAUCAGAUCUUUGGAAGGAAAUGGGAUGGCAAGGUUCAGAUCCAUCAACAGAUUUUAGAAAAUGGCAUAGAUUUUGGAACCUUCGACGCAAUGGCAGAUGAUAAUCACGAAAACCUCUCAGUGUGCAACUCAGAUCAUAUCAAAGAUGUGGAGUUCUUUAGUUAAGAAACAAAACAAGAAAGUUACGCGUUCGGCUAAAUUUAGAGUUAUGGCAAUCAACUCUGAAAAUGGCACCAUCAAUAGGGUGGAGGAUUUGCUUAAUUGGGACAUCACUCCAUUCAGUGACAACAUAAUUGCUGAGUACAUAUGGAUUGGUGGAACAGGAAUCGAUGUGCGCAGCAAAUCAAGGGUAUGUUAAUGAAUAUUCAUACUAUGA